AUGAGAAGGAGAAGGAGAAGGAGAAGGAGAAAAAAGAAGAAGAAGAAGAAGAAGAAGAAGAAGAAGAAGGAGAAGGAGAAGGAGCAGGAGCAGGAGAAGGAGGAGGAGGAGGAGGAGGAGAAGGAGAAGGAGAAGAAGAAGCAGGAGGAGAAGCAGAAGGAGAAGGAGAAGGAGGAGAAGGAAAAGGAGGAGAAGAAGCAGAAGGAGAAGGAGAAGGAGGAGGAGGAGAAGGAAAAGGAGGAAAAUGGAGCUGAACUUUUACAUCAUCAAUAUACAACAAAACUGGAGUAUACAGCAUGCCUUUCAAGAAAAGAAAAACUAUACAUGCUGUACCAGGGCCACUCUUUGCUCUGCGAUCCAGGCUGUAGCCGUGGCUCGCCCCGCCGCCAUUGUUCAUCAAUCAAAAUUAAUAACACGACGCAUCCUCAACUUCCCCCGCUACUGAAUUUUCAAAAGCGAAACUAA
rnacentral:rRNA from 1 species